rnacentral:rRNA from 1 species
UACGUAGGCAGCAAGCGUUGUUCGGAGUUACUGGGCGUAAAGGGUGUGUAGGCGGUUGUUUAAGUUUGAUGUGAAAUCUCCCGGCUCAACUGGGAGGGUGCGCCGAAUACUGAAUGACUCGAGUGCGGGAGAGGAAAGUGGAAUUCCUGGUGUAGCGGUGAAAUGCGUAGAUAUCAGGAGGAACACCGGUGGUGUAGACGGCUUUCUGGACCGUAACUGACGCUGAGACACGAAAGCGUGGGUAGCAAACAGG